rnacentral:sRNA from 1 species
CUGCUUUUGGGCGAUAGCAAAACUAAAGAUGGCGGCCAUUAUACAUGGCAAUUUAUCUAAAUACUAAAUCACACACGUGUCGACACAUUCUUCGGGGUGCCCUCAGCUGUUAACUGCGGGGUCGAAGACAUGGGAUACGUGGAGGUCUAACC